UGUGAACUGAUAAAUGGACCUUUUAAUAAUUGACGUCAUCAUGCAAAUCACGCAUGAAAUGAACGUUUUGAUUGGAUGCCGAAAUGCUGACUCCGCCCAUAUACGGAAGUUGGGGGGAAGACCUUGUUGAUGAAGGCGAGUUUUAAUGUUGAUGCUUGGUUUGGGAAAAUUGUGGACAACAAUGGACAAAAUCCCUGAAAAGUGUGCCGCGGAUCCGAGAGGACGUCAUUGUGAGGCAACUGUCGAGGGGGGACACUGUGUCGAAAAAGACAAUCACUGAAAAAAGGACGUUGAAGUCAGAGAGAGCAUGCCCAGCAAAACAAGGAGGUGGCUGCAAUCAUGUGCCCACACUACUGUUUGAGUUGGAGCAAUAUCAAGCUUGUAGGGCAGUGGAACUACAAAGUAAACCAACCUGCACCCAGUUGCCUUGUUCAUGGAAGGGAAGGGACGAGCACAAAAACGAACUGCCGAACGAACUGCUUGUAGUGUUGGAGCAGCAAAUUUUAAAGUGUCGUUUAAGGCAUGAGAUCGGCAUGGAGGUCUCCUGGAAAACGUUGAACAGCCUGGCUUUUGACCCAUGAUGUCCUGACGACCGGAAUGAAAACACAACUGCAGAUCUUCAUAAGGACGUUUGGAGCGUGGAACCGUCUUUGCCAUUUUGCAGAUCCUGACCCUCAACCAGAUGAUGCUGCUGACGACCUAGGUCCGAGUCCAGUCUCCAUGGACACCAUCAGAGAGGCCUGCAAGAAGUUCAAGCAUCUUUAAAUGUCACACAAGCAGAAGCUGAUCUGAUUGAAGCACAAACACGCAAGCAGAGCUCAAGUGAAGAAUGGU